UAUGAAGAACGUAGCGAAAUGCGAUAAGUAGUGUGAAUUGCAGAAUUCAGUGAAUCAUCGAAUCUUUGAACGCACAUUGCGCCUUCUAGUAUUCUGGGAGGCAUGCCUGUUUGAGCGUCAUUAAACCUCUCUCAAGUAUGAUUACUUGGAUGUGAAGGAAGAGUACCUUAAACUUAAGGAGUGUUCUCCUUUGAAAUUGAUUAGCAGAUGGUAAUGUUAUUAAAUCCCUGAUGUUGUAAGAAAUAACAGUGGUUUUGUAGACUAUUAUCUAGCUUUAAAUUAUAAUUUUUAUUAUGGUUGACCUCAAAUCAGGUAAGGAUACCCGCUGAACUUAAGCAUAUCAAUAAGCGGAGGA
rnacentral:misc_RNA from 1 species